UACCAGCACCCCGAGUGGUCGGGACGUUUAUUGGGCCUAAAGCGUCCGUAGCCGGUUCUACAAGUCUUCCGUUAAAUCCACCUGCUUAACAGAUGGGCUGCGGAAGAUACUAUAGAGCUAGGAGGCGGGAGAGGCAAGCGGUACUCGAUGGGUAGGGGUAAAAUCCGUUGAUCCAUUGAAGACCACCAGUGGCGAAGGCGGCUUGCCAGAACGCGCUCGACGGUGAGGGAUGAAAGCUGGGGGAGCAAACAGG
rnacentral:rRNA from 1 species